CUGAACUCUCCUGACAAUACGUUUUUCACCUGUAACGUAAUAUAUGACAUAUAUGAGACCAAGAAAUGUUAUGGGCAAUCUACAAACAAACAUCAACUGAUAUCCACCAAAAGAUUGAGCAACUGGUGGUGAUGUGCGAGGUUGAGGAAGAGUUGUUGCUAUGGAUUUUGAAGAAAUGCUAUGUUUACUUCCUCUGAAAUAAAUUCACUUAGUGAAUAUUGUCUGAUGCCUAACUUUGUUAAUACUUUUACUCAUAUUUUUGAUAUGAAUUUCACUCUCCAUCACUUUCUUAGCGAUUGUUUUCCGCACCUAUUAUAUGCUUUGUAUGAGACGUUGUCUUGGUCUCAGACCUUCGAACUUCCGAUCCUGAUAGGGAGAAUAAUUAUGUUAUAAUGUCGUACUUGUUCUCAUUUAAAUACGGUAUAAUGCCCAACCCUCAGGGCACAUUACUUAUUUUAUUCAAGUAAAGCUUAGUA